rnacentral:sRNA from 1 species
GCAGGUGAAUGCAACGUCAAGCGAUGGGCGUUGCGCUCCAUAAUUGUCUUACUUUCUAACAUUUAGAAUUACUGCAUAGCACAUUUGAUUCAUACAAUGCCGGUCUGAUCACCGGCAUUU